GCGCCCAUCGUCUAGCGGUUAGGACGACGCCCUCUCACGGCGUAAACAGGGGUUCGAUUCCCCUUGGGCGUACCA
rnacentral:tRNA from 2 species